rnacentral:lncRNA from 1 species
UGUUGAUUAACCGACACCAACUAGGAAAGUAAAACGUGUCAAUGGCCAAGAUCCAACAGCAAAGUUAAUUACCCAGAGGGCCUCAGGAAGUUUGAAGAGGACAGGCUGUGAGUGGAUAUAGAAGGAGAACUAAAACCAACUGUAAUUAAAUAAAUAAAUAACCAUUGUUUAAAUGUCC